rnacentral:rRNA from 1 species
AUGGACCAUUCCAUCCCUUUUUCCCGUGCAUAUGCAUCGGACUCGGAUGACGAUGGUCCCGAUGAACAAGUUGAUGCGGAGGGGUUCACGGUGAAGGAGGCCGAAGCUUUCGAGAAGGUAUUUGGUCAGGAUCAUCGGACUACAUUGUUCAAGGAUGUUAGUCUCGCGGAAGAAGCCGUGGUAGAUGGUGGCCAGUGUGUACCUCUUGGGGUUAGGCCAAGCUCUCAC